UUGGAAGUUCUGUCCCAAGGACCCAAG
rnacentral:piRNA from 2 species